rnacentral:rRNA from 1 species
AUUAUACAGCGAAACUGCGAAUGGCUCAUUAAAUCAGUUAUCGUUUAUUUGAUAGUACCUUACUACUUGGAUAACCGUGGUAAUUCUAGAGCUAAUACAUGCUAAAAACCCCGACUCACGAAGGGGUGUAUUUAUUAGAUUAAAAACCAAUGCCCUUCGGGGCUCUUUGGUGAUUCAUAAUAACUUCACGAAUCGCAUGGCCUUGCGCCGGCGAUGGUUCAUUCAAAUUUCUGCCCUAUCAACUUUCGAUGGCAGGGUCUUGGCCUGCCAUGGUUACAACGGGUAACGGAGGGUUAGGGCUCGACCCCGGAGAGGGAGCCUGAGAAACGGCUACCACAUCCAAGGAAGGCAGCAGGCGCGCAAAUUACCCAAUCCCGACUCGGGGAGGUAGUGACAAUAAAUACUGAUACAGGGCUCUUUUGGGUCUUGUAAUUGGAAUGAGUACAAUUUAAAUCCCUUAACGAGGAACAAUUGGAGGGCAAGUCUGGUGCCAGCAGCCGCGGUAAUUCCAGCUCCAAUAGCGUAUAUUAAAGUUGUUGCAGUUAAAAAGCUCGUAGUUGAACCUUGGGCCUGGCUGGCCGGUCCGCCUCACCGCGUGCACUGGUUCGGCCGGGCCUUUCCCUCUGGGGAGCCGCAUGCCCUUCACUGGGUGUGUCGGGGAACCAGGACUUUUACUGUGAAAAAAUUAGAGUGUUCAAAGCAGGCCUAUGCUCGAAUACAUUAGCAUGGAAUAAUAGAAUAGGACGUGUGGUUCUAUUUUGUUGGUUUCUAGGACCGCCGUAAUGAUUAAUAGGGACAGUCGGGGGCAUCAGUAUUCAAUUGUCAGAGGUGAAAUUCUUGGAUUUAUUGAAGACUAACUACUGCGAAAGCAUUUGCCAAGGAUGUUUUCAUUAAUCAGGAACGAAAGUUAGGGGAUCGAAGACGAUCAGAUACCGUCGUAGUCUUAACCAUAAACUAUGCCGACUAGGGAUCGGACGAUGUUAUUAUUUGACUCGUUCGGCACCUUACGAGAAAUCAAAGUCUUUGGG